GGUCGAGCCGGAGCCGGAGCCGCAGCCGCGUGCCCGGGCCCCGCUGCCGUCGCCUCUCACGCCGGGCACCAUGCAGUUUAUGUUGCUUUUUAGUCGUCAGGGGAAGCUGAGACUUCAGAAGUGGUAUGUCCCGUUAUCUGACAAAGAGAAGAAGAAAAUCACCAGGGAACUUGUUCAAACCGUGUUAGCCCGUAAACCGAAAAUGUGCAGCUUCCUGGAGUGGAGAGACCUGAAGAUUGUCUACAAAAGAUAUGCAAGCCUUUAUUUCUGCUGUGCUAUUGAAGAUCAGGACAAUGAACUAAUAACCCUUGAAAUAAUUCAUCGUUAUGUGGAGCUGCUUGACAAGUAUUUUGGCAGUGUGUGUGAACUUGAUAUCAUCUUCAAUUUUGAAAAAGCCUAUUUUAUUCUUGAUGAGUUCCUUUUGGGAGGGGAAGUUCAAGAGACUUCCAAGAAAAAUGUUCUAAAAGCCAUUGAGCAGGCAGAUCUGUUACAGGAGAGCCAGAAUGAAGACUGGGGAGGUUUGUCUGAGGAUAUCUUAUGAUUAAGAGCAUUCUAAGGCAUUAGCCCUUUUGACCCCCAUCUAAAUUAUUGGAAGCUGAGACCCCACGUAGCGUACUUGAAGAAAUUGGAUUGACAUAAAUCUUCUCCUCUGAUGACGUCUCAUGGUGUUUCAUACUGUAAAUGUUCACUGCCUUCAUUUUAAUGUUUAGCUGAUGGUGUGAGAUGCUGUUUGUCAGUAUUACUGUUUUGCUAAGCUGCUUCAUUCAAGCCUACAAGAAAAUAUUCGAUUUAAAAUGAGAAAAGGGAUAAAAAAUUUAAAAUAUCCAAAAAAGGACAAAUGAAAGGGAAUUCAAUGUACUAACUCAAAGACACCUCUUUUCAGUGCAUUUAUAGAAAACCACUGGUAAUAACUUCAAUAAUUACACAGAUUUUAUAAUUCAGGAAACAUGCAUCGGCUUCUGUAUGACAUACCAUAUUUCACUGAAAGAAAACUACAUGUAAGAACUUCCAGUGAUGAAAUGUAACAAUGCAGAACUUGGUUUUAUGCAACCAAAGACUUAUUUGUUCAUCUGCAUUUUAAGUCAGCAUUUGUGAUUUUUUUUCCAGUUAAUAUAAAAAGAUUGGGAAUAACUGUUUACUACUGAAUUUUUUUAAAAUUAUUAUUAUUAUUAUUAUACCAAAGAACCCUGUUAAAAUCUGCAUACUGAACUGGCAGAAAUUGUAAAGGUGGCUUCAUUUUUAGCAAGAGACCUGCAAGCAGAUUAAUUAAUAUGACACAAUAGUAUGAAGACUUUAAACAAAACAGUACAUGAGUUCGUGUGUUACAAAGGGAAUGCAGAUUGUAGGAAAUUUCCUUUUUGAAACACUAUUUUUAUGUGCUUUUUGGCUUACACUCUGGACAUAUCUAUGGUAUGCUUUACCGUUCUCACUGCGCAGAUGAGGAAGUGCAUAAUGUGAAAUGGAGUGUUUUGAGAUCAUGAAAGGAAGGGAAAAGUGAAUGUCCAAUUUAAGUUCUUAUUUUGAUUCCCCAGAAACAAGACCUUUUUUUUCUUUCUUCAUUUUACUGGUAUCCUGUGGUUAUGCUGACAUGGGAAUACGAGCACUGAUUAUUAAGGAAGUGUGACCAUCUUCAUUUAUUCAAUGUUUUCACUUGCACCUUUCAUACACAUGCCACACCUAUUCAACUACUACAUUUCAUCAAACAGUGGUGUACAUUAGAGCCAAACUAAUUCAUUUAGAUCUUGUUGCAAAUGGAAUGUCAGUAUGUAAAUGAACAAAUGAUCAAGUAAAAUACACCAAAAUAUAUUGUAUUUUGACAGUUCUAGGAGGGGUUGCAGCAUAUUCCACGUUUAAGUGUUUAAAGAUGAUGAGAUUUCAGUAUAGAACACUGUUUUGUGGCUGAGAAAUCAGUGCUAUUUUUUCUGAAAAUAUGUAUGAAUUAGCAAAGUUCUGCUGGAUGUACCCGCAGCGAUCACAAGCUGUGUGUGUGGUAUUUUCUUUAUUUUGGGGGGGGAGGGGGACGACUAGAGGACUUGCAGUGGAAUUUGAAGUGGUCUUAGCUGCGUAAUAUUUCAGUUUGUGCUUGAAGCAAGCAAUGCCACACACUUCUAUUCAUUUCAACUUAUACCAUCUACCAGACCCUGGCGUAUCAGAUCCGUACAAGAUCAUAUUUGCCUAAGAUGCACAGGAGCUUAGUUUCACAUUGUAGUGACGUAAAAUGUGCAACAAGAACAACAACGAAAGUAGAAGUGGUAUUAGAAUGCCCCCCCUGUGUGUGCUGUUUGAUGUGAUUGAAUUACCUUCAUUUAAAAUGUCAAACAUAACUCAAUUUUAUAUCUAUUAAACAAACAUGUUUCUAAGGUUUACACUGUCACUUGUACGUGCUUGGCUGGAUUAAGCUUUGUUGUGAUUGUGACAAAUAAGCCAUUUGACUUCUGUCUUAGUAUAUUGUCAGUUUAGUUGUAAUAAAUGUCCAUUUUUACGCCCUUGCUGUGUAGUCAUAUGCAG